rnacentral:rRNA from 1 species
GCUGGCGGCGUGCUUAACACAUGCAAGUCGAACGGUAAGGCCCUUUCGGGGGUACACGAGUGGCGAACGGGUGAGUAACACGUGGGUAAUCUGCCCUGCACUUCGGGAUAAGCCUGGGAAACUGGGUCUAAUACCGGAUAGGAACUCCUGCCGCAUGGUGGGGGUUGGAAAGUUUUUCGGUGCAGGAUGAGCCCGCGGCCUAUCAGCUUGUUGGUGGGGUAAUGGCCUACCAAGGCGACGACGGGUAGCCGGCCUGAGAGGGUGAUCGGCCACACUGGGACUGAGACACGGCCCAGACUCCUACGGGAGGCAGCAGUGGGGAAUAUUGCACAAUGGGCGGAAGCCUGAUGCAGCGACGCCGCGUGGGGGAUGACGGUCUUCGGAUUGUAAACCCCUUUCAGUAGGGACGAAGCGCAAGUGACGGUACCUGCAGAAGAAGCACCGGCCAACUACGUGCCAGCAGCCGCGGUAAUACGUAGGGUGCGAGCGUUGUCCGGAAUUACUGGGCGUAAAGAGCUCGUAGGCGGUUUGUCGCGUCGUCUGUGAAAUCCUCCAGCUUAACUGGGGGCGUGCAGGCGAUACGGGCAGACUUGAGUACUACAGGGGAGACUGGAAUUCCUGGUGUAGCGGUGAAAUGCGCAGAUAUCAGGAGGAACACCGGUGGCGAAGGCGGGUCUCUGGGUAGU